UUAGUAAGACGUAAUUUAAGAAAACUUGGAAUAUCUUAAAUAUUAAUGACAAUGUUUCUAGAGUAUCUUUAAAAACUAAAUGUAAAUAUAUAACUACUUUUUUUUUUUUUUUUUUUUUUUUACUAACCCUUAGUAUUUUAUGUGUAAAAACCCUCAUUUGUAACAAAGAUUGUUGGCAGUUUAAAUUUCGGAAAAGAUAACGAUGAAAGUAUGAAUCAUUUUUAGCAGUAUUAAGAAAAGUGACUAUUUUUGAAAUCUGCCCUUCCUGGCAUCAGGUUUAUAAAAUGCACUUUAUACACCUGCCUAAAUAAGUAUUACUCAUCCACUUAUGAGAAAUAUAUUUGAGAUAAAAGAGGGUCUCUAGAUUUUACAAAAAUAAUUUUAAACACUUUUUUUUAAGACUGAAGAAGAAAAUGAAGAAUUAAGAAAACUUUAUGAGUUACUAUCAUCACUGAAAUGUCAUGCGAAUCGAGAAAGAGAGAAAAAUCAUGAAUUAGAACAAGAGGCAACUGGAUAUAAGAAACUCCUGGAAAGGACAAUAAAUAUGUUACAUGUAUUUGGAAAUGAAGACUUUGGUUUCCAUGGAGACUUAAAAACAGACAAACU